GAAGCCCAGCCCCCAAUUUUUUAUAUUUAAAAGAUAAGUUUUUUAACUUAAAACUUCUUAAGAUUUCCCCUUAAAAUAUGAGAAGUGCACAUAAUUGGCUUGCUAUUUAAUGCAGAUUCCCAGUCCCACACCCAGAGAUUCUGAAUUCAGUUAAGACUGGUGGGGGUCACUAGAAUUCUGUGUCUUUUAUAUGCUUCUGAUGUUGGUAGUCCAGAAAUCACACUGCAAAUACAGCCCCGAGGAGCUACAGUAUGCCUAUCUUACAAAAAUGAUUACAACUUCAGGGAAACUGUAUGUCCCCUUUACUUGGUAAUUUUUUCCUCCAGAAAAACUGAAUAAAUGGGGAAACAUUUUGAAAGGCAAAAAAAAGAGUUAUAUUAAUAGUUUGGGAAACUUAUAGGUCAGACUGCUUUGUUUUUAAAAGGAAUGUUAAACUAUUCCAAGUAAUCUUUUUUUUUACUUUUUUACCAAGAAAGUUCCCUUUUUUGUCUGUUUUCCCACUAAAUGCAUUCCUCAAUGAUACGGAUUUGUUCUUGAUUCCCUGGUGCCUGAACACAGAGCUGGGUACUCAAUAAAUGUUGAUUUAUUGAUUUAUAUGUGAAAUUGUUUUCAAGUAUAGUUUAAAUCCACAGAAGCAAUGCUCCUUUUAUGGAGAAACUUUAGGAUCAUACUUAACCCAAGUCACCUAAUAUUCUAUUCAUAAAGGAAACUGAUGCCUCAUGGUCUCUGAAUACAUUUGUCUGCCAUUCAGCUCUUCCUUGGGUUUCCUGUGCAAACCCUUGCACUUAUCCUCUUCCUGUGCUUGACUUCCUUAGGCUUUAUUACAAUUUUUAAACAAACCAGCUACUUACCUCCCUCUGAAGUAGAGCCAUAUUAUUUCUUACAGUCCUAGGACAGAAAUUAAGUAGAGUGAAAACUUGUACUUGCAUGAGAGAGUUGAAGGUUUUGUAAGGGAUUUUAUAAUCUUUUUUUUUUUUUUUUAAGAUUUACAAAAUUUGAACUACAUAAUGUUUCUCUCAUUUUUUAUGCACGGAAGAGGUUUGGUAUAAUUAUGGUUUGCAACUGUUAAUCCAGAAUAUGAUACGGAUCAACAUCACAAGGGUAAGACUAGUUUGUUUCAAGCCCAUCUUAAUUGUAGAGCACAUUGUUAGGUCACAUAUCCAGAAGUCUGGUACUUUACUUUGCAGGCUGAGAAUUCUUGAUUUAGUUACCAAGUAGCGUACUACUUUAUAUUGGAGGACGUAUUUCUCCAGAAGACUUUUCUUCUUAUCCAUGACUCCCCAUGGAGUCUUGAUGGAGUGGGUGAGAAACUGGGUUAUUAGAGAACUGUUAAUAGAAUGGUAUAAAAUAUUUAGGUUUAUUUUAUCUAGGCCAGACUUGAACUUGAUGACUUAUUCCUGGUAUCAUGGUGUAUACCUUCCUGGUGACUAGAGAGAUUAUUUUCUGCCUCUCUGAUUAUAUCUGAAAGUCAUGGUUACACUCAAUAAUCCUACUUUCUAGCUUUUUUCCUGGACCUUUGCUUUGUACUGGUACUUAGUCACCCUUUGUGUUCUAGUUUUAUGGGUUUUUAAAAAACACGUUUAUGAUUCGCUCUUCCUGCUGACAACAGUAACACAUUUUCAGAUCACAUUUAUAGAAUUGGUUAUUUUACCAGCUAACGAACCCCACCUCUAGCAUAUGGAUUCUAGUCAAUUCAGUCAACAUUCUUUAUAGACUUUCUUCUUUUUACUGACCUUUGGUUAAAAUCUCAUCCCAGACUUUUUGGUAUAAUAAGUAGUGGCAACUUACUAGUGCAUACUAUGGGCAAAGCUAAUGGAAACACAGGUUAGAAGAAAUGAACUAAUAAUAUUGAGUGCCAGUUGUGUACCAGAUAGUAUGCCAGACUCUGCCAGUGUAUUUAGUAUGGUUCUGCUACAUAAAACCUCAUCUUACAGAGUAGGAAACUGAAGCUGUGAGGUUGAACAACUUUCCUAUAGACAUAGCAACUAAUUAAGGGCUGGGGAUUGAGACUGAUCUGACUUGCUUAGUCAGUAUUCCUUACCAAUUUAGGGUACUGUGUUUCUCUGGUGGAAACAGUCUUUUAGGAAAUUUAAUCUGGCUACAGAUAUAGGAUGGGUUGUAGGGUUGAAGGCAGAGAGACCGCUUAGGAGAUUCUUUUACAGUAGUCCAAACGGGAAGUGAUGCGGUCUGGUAUACAGUGAUGGCAGUCAAAAUGGAAAGGAAGUUACAAGAGUCGGACUGACCAAAUGGUCACUGAAAAUGGUCUCAACACAUCACUUCUGAAGGAAGCCUUCCUUGAUGCCUUAACUCCACUGUAUUGGGUACCCCACCUGAAUACUGUCAUAGCAUUUCUCACAAUUGUAAUUAGUAAUUGGGGUUUUUUUCCCUAUUUUUUUAGGUUGCUCCUUGAGGGCAUGACAUUGCUUGUUUAUGGCUAUAUCCCUACUGUGUAAGCAUACAGAGGUCUUCAAGGUCAAAACUGUUCUCAUAAUACACAUGAUUCUAAAGAACAAGGACAAGAUCAUGGAACAGGUGAAGUCUGCUGUGCCGAUGAUGGCGACAGUAAUGUUGAAGAAGCGGGAAGAGUGAUGGAGAUGGAGAAACUUCUCUGUGUGGAUUCAGGAUCAGCAUCAGCAUCGAGUCCCCCUCAGCUUAAUGCUGAUGCAAGAAAAGCUAAAAGCCUUUAUGAAGACUUGAAGAAGAAACAUGGCGAAGAACCAGACGGUGCAUCUUUUAAUGCCAGCCAUGGCUGGUUUCAUCAGUUCAAGGCUAGAGCCAGCCUUCACAACGUAAAAGUAAGUGGUGAGG